rnacentral:rRNA from 1 species
GGUUAAGCGACUAAGCGUACACGGUGGAUGCCCUGGCAGUCAGAGGCGAUGAAGGGCGUGCUAAUCUGCGAUAAGCGCCGGUAAGGUGAUAUGAACCGUUAUAACCGGCGAUACCCGAAUGGGGAAACCCAGUGUGACUCGUCACACUAUCAUUAACUGAAUCCAUAGGUUAAUGAGGCGAACCGGGGGAACUGAAACAUCUAAGUACCCCGAGGAAAAGAAAUCAACCGAGAUUCCCCCAGUAGCGGCGAGCGAACGGGGAGGAGCCCAGAGCCUGAAUCAGCAUGUGUGUUAGUGGAAGCGUCUGGAAAGGCGCGCGAUACAGGGUGACAGCCCCGUACACAAAAGCGCAUGUGCUGUGAGCUCGAUGAGUAGGGCGGGACACGUGGUAUCCUGUCUGAAUAUGGGGGGACCAUCCUCCAAGGCUAAAUACUCCUGACUGACCGAUAGUGAACCAGUACCGUGAGGGAAAGGCGAAAAGAACCCCGGCGAGGGGAGUGAAAAAGAACCUGAAACCGUGUACGUACAAGCAGUGGGAGCACCCUUUGGGGUGUGACUGCGUACCUUUUGUAUAAUGGGUCAGCGACUUAUAUUCUGUAGCAAGGUUAACCGAAUAGGGGAGCCGGAGGGAAACCGAGUCUUAAUUGGGCGUUAAGUUGCAGGGUAUAGACCCGAAACCCGGUGAUCUAGCCAUGGGCAGGUUGAAGGUUGGGUAACACUAACUGGAGGACCGAACCGACUAAUGUUGAAAAAUUAGCGGAUGACCUGUGGCUGGGGGUGAAAGGCCAAUCAAACCGGGAGAUAGCUGGUUCUCCCCGAAAGCUAUUUAGGUAGCGCCUCGUGAACUCAUCUCCGGGGGUAGAGCACUGUUUCGGCUAGGGGGCCAUCCCGGCUUACCAACCCGAUGCAAACUGCGAAUACCGGAGAAUGUUAUCACGGGAGACACACGGCGGGUGCUAACGUCCGUCGUGAAGAGGGAAACAACCCAGACCGCCAGCUAAGGUCCCAAAGUCAUGGUUAAGUGGGAAACGAUGUGGGAAGGCCCAGACAGCCAGGAUGUUGGCUUAGAAGCAGCCAUCAUUUAAAGAAAGCGUAAUAGCUCACUGGUCGAGUCGGCCUGCGCGGAAGAUGUAACGGGGCUAAACCAUGCACCGAAGCUGCGGCAGCGACGCUUAUGCGUUGUUGGGUAGGGGAGCGUUCUGUAAGCCUGCGAAGGUGGCCUGUGAGGGUUGCUGGAGGUAUCAGAAGUGCGAAUGCUGACAUAAGUAACGAUAAAGCGGGUGAAAAGCCCGCUCGCCGGAAGACCAAGGGUUCCUGUCCAACGUUAAUCGGGGCAGGGUGAGUCGACCCCUAAGGCGAGGCCGAAAGGCGUAGUCGAUGGGAAACGGGUUAAUAUUCCCGUACUUGGUGUUACUGCGAAGGGGGGACGGAGAAGGCUAUGUUGGCCGGGCGACGGUUGUCCCGGUUUAAGCGUGUAGGUGUGUGUUCCAGGUAAAUCCGGUUCACUUUAACACUGAGGCGUGACGACGAGGCACUACGGUGCUGAAGCAACAAAUGCCCUGCUUCCAGGAAAAGCCUCUAAGCAUCAGGUAACAUCAAAUCGUACCCCAAACCGACACAGGUGGUCAGGUAGAGAAUACCAAGGCGCUUGAGAGAACUCGGGUGAAGGAACUAGGCAAAAUGGUGCCGUAACUUCGGGAGAAGGCACGCUGACACGUAGGUGAAGUGAUUUACUCAUGGAGCUGAAGUCAGUCGAAGAUACCAGCUGGCUGCAACUGUUUAUUAAAAACACAGCACUGUGCAAACACGAAAGUGGACGUAUACGGUGUGACGCCUGCCCGGUGCCGGAAGGUUAAUUGAUGGGGUCAGCGCAAGCGAAGCUCCUGAUCGAAGCCCCGGUAAACGGCGGCCGUAACUAUAACGGUCCUAAGGUAGCGAAAUUCCUUGUCGGGUAAGUUCCGACCUGCACGAAUGGCGUAAUGAUGGCCAGGCUGUCUCCACCCGAGACUCAGUGAAAUUGAACUCGCUGUGAAGAUGCAGUGUACCCGCGGCAAGACGGAAAGACCCCGUGAACCUUUACUAUAGCUUGACACUGAACAUUGAGCCUUGAUGUGUAGGAUAGGUGGGAGGCUUUGAAGUGUGGACGCCAGUCUGCAUGGAGCCGACCUUGAAAUACCACCCUUUAAUGUUUGAUGUUCUAACGUGGACCCGUAAUCCGGGUUGCGGACAGUGUCUGGUGGGUAGUUUGACUGGGGCGGUCUCCUCCUAAAGAGUAACGGAGGAGCACGAAGGUUGGCUAAUCCUGGUCGGACAUCAGGAGGUUAGUGCAAUGGCAUAAGCCAGCUUGACUGCGAGCGUGACGGCGCGAGCAGGUGCGAAAGCAGGUCAUAGUGAUCCGGUGGUUCUGAAUGGAAGGGCCAUCGCUCAACGGAUAAAAGGUACUCCGGGGAUAACAGGCUGAUACCGCCCAAGAGUUCAUAUCGACGGCGGUGUUUGGCACCUCGAUGUCGGCUCAUCACAUCCUGGGGCUGAAGUAGGUCCCAAGGGUAUGGCUGUUCGCCAUUUAAAGUGGUACGCGAGCUGGGUUUAGAACGUCGUGAGACAGUUCGGUCCCUAUCUGCCGUGGGCGCUGGAGAACUGAGGGGGGCUGCUCCUAGUACGAGAGGACCGGAGUGGACGCAUCACUGGUGUUCGGGUUGUCAUGCCAAUGGCACUGCCCGGUAGCUAAAUGCGGAAGAGAUAAGUGCUGAAAGCAUCUAAGCACGAAACUUGCCCCGAGAUGAGUUCUCCCUGAGACUUAGAGUCUCCUGAAGGAACGUUGAAGACGACGACGUUGAUAGGCCGGGUGUGUAAGCGCAGCGAUGCGUUGAGCUAACCGGUACUAAUGAACCGUGAGGCUUAACCUU